rnacentral:rRNA from 1 species
UACGUAGGUGGCAAGCGUUAUCCGGAAUUACUGGGCGUAAAGCGCACGCAGGCGGUCUUUUAAGUUUGACGUGAAAGCUCCCGGCUUAACUGGGAGAGGUCGUUGAAGACUGGAAGACUUGGGGCAAUGAGAGGGGUGUAGAAUUCCCGGUGUAGUGGUGGAAUGCGUAGAUAUCGGGGGGAAUACCAGUGGCGAAAGCGGCACCCUAGCGUUAGCCUGACGCUCAUGUGCGAAAGCGUGGGGAGCGAACGGG